GACGAACGCUGGCGGCGUGCUUAACACAUGCAAGUCGAACGGAAAGGCGCGGCGCUUGCGGGGUGCUCGAGUGGCGAACGGGGGAGUAACACGCGAGUAACCUGCCCUUGACUUUGGGAUAAAUUCAGGAAACAGGGGCUAAUACCGGAUAGGAGCUCCUGAUGCACGGGGGGGGAUGGAAAGAUUCGGCGGUUGGGGAUGGACUCGCGGGUUAUCAGCUUGUUGGUGGGGUAGGGGCUUACCAAGGCUUUGACGGGUAGCCGGCCUGAGAGGGUGACCGGCCACAUUGGGACUGAGGUACGGCCCAGACUCCUACGUGCGGCAGCAGUGGGGAAUAUUGCACAAUGGGCGGAAGCCUGAUGCAGCAACGCCGCGUGCGGGAUGACGGCCUUCGGGUUGUAAACCGCUUUCGCCUGUGACGAAGCGUGAGUGACGGUAAUGGGUAAAGAAGCACCGGCUAACUACGUG
rnacentral:rRNA from 1 species